rnacentral:rRNA from 1 species
UACGUAGGGAGCAAGCGUUGUCCGGAAUCAUUGGGCGUAAAGCGCGCGUAGGUGGCUUCGUAAGUCCGUUGUGAAAGUCAAAGGCUCAACCUUUGAAAGCCGAUGGAUACUGUGAAGCUAGAGUACGGAAGAGGCGAGUGGAAUUCCUGGUGUAGCGGUGAAAUGCGCAGAUAUCGGGAGGAACACCAAUGGCGAAGGCAGCUCGCUGGGACGGUACUGACGCUGAGACGCGAAAGCGUGGGGAGCAAACAGG